GAGCACGCUAGCAAGGAAAAAGACACGGCGAUUCACUGAAACGAGGUCGGGAGUUAGAGACGACGCCAUUUCAUCUUUCCUGCGCCAUCUCGCGCUGCUCCGCCUUUCUUUUCUGAGAUCGGUCAGGUUUUUUUGUUCCCUUUGUAUCUUCCUUUUGAUGCAUUGCAACGGAUCCUGUAAUCGAUGGCGAGCCAACCCCGUUGAAGGACCAAUUGACUUUGUUCUGUGCUGCACAGCAGAGUGUGGUCCACCCGGUUCUUAAACGAUGGAUGCUGGACUUGUGGAACAAAGUGUCCAUCCCGGUACACAAGGACAUAUUCAUCUCUCAGGUCAGCUCUGCUCCACUCUACACCUAUGAUGUUGUUGUUUGGAGCUCGACAUGUCAGAGUGACGUCCUGUCCAGACUCAGCUGUGAUGGUUUUCUGGUCUGAAAGAGGAAACAACACAGAGCAGAGAGGUUAAAGGUCAAAGUACAACUGUUCACUUCUACAGCAGCCAAUCAGAAACACACAAUAAAAGAUUGUCUUCUGUUAUUAGAUGAUGAUCUUUGAUUGUGUCUCUUCUUGUGUCAGCUGCUCCCUUCAGGCGUCACCACAGCGAGUCUUCUCCUCCUCCUCACCUGAUCCCGAGCAUCUUCAUCAGGGCUGAUUUGUGACAGAAGGACA
ensembl:lncRNA